ensembl:lncRNA
CUUAUGGGGUUCUAGGGGGUCCUUAUGGGGUCCCUAUGGGGUCUUUAUGGGGUCCUAUGGGGUCUUAUGGGGUCCUAUGGGGUCUUUAUGGGGUCCUAUGGGGGCUUAAAGGGGUUCUAUGGGGUCCUAUGGGGCUCUAUGGGGGCUUAAAGUGGUCUUUAUGGGGUCUUUAUGGGGUCCUAUGGGGUCCUUAUGGGGUUUUAUGGGGUCCAAUGGGGUCCUAUGGGGCUCUAUGAGGUCUUAUGGGGUUCUAGGGGGUCCUUAUGGGGUCCCCAUGGGGUUCUAUGGGGGCUUAUGGGGUCCUUAUGGGGUCUUUAUGGGGUCCUUAUGGGGUUAAAGGGGGUUUUAUAGGGUCCUUAUGGGGUCCUUAUGGGGUUAAUUGGGGUUUAU